AACGAACGCUGGCGGCAUGCCUAACACAUGCAAGUCGAACGAGAUCUUCGGGUCUAGUGGCGCACGGGUGCGUAACGCGUGGGAAUCUGCCCUUUGGUUCGGAAUAACAGUUGGAAACGACUGCUAAUACCGGAUGAUGACGAAAGUCCAAAGAUUUAUCGCCAGAGGAUGAGCCCGCGUAGGAUUAGCUAGUUGGUGUGGUAAAGGCGCACCAAGGGGACGAUCCUUAGCUGGUCUGAGAGGAUGAUCAGCCACACUGGGACUGAGACACGGCCCAGACUCCUACGGGAGGCAGCAGUGGGGAAUAUUGGACAAUGGGCGAAAGCCUGAUCCAGCAAUGCCGCGUGAGUGAUGAAGGCCUUAGGGUUGUAAAGCUCUUUUACCCGGGAUGAUAAUGACAGUACCGGGAGAAUAAGCUCCGGCUGACUCCGUGCCAGCAGCCGCGGUAA
rnacentral:rRNA from 1 species